rnacentral:lncRNA from 1 species
GGGGAACGUGUGAAAGGGGAUGCCCAUCCUCCAAUUUGUACCUACUAUAAGACAGAACAAACAGAGGAACAUAAAGCCGGGGUGCUUUUUAGAGACCACAGAGAUUAGAAGGGCUUCUGAGUGGCAAAGAAUGAUUGAGGUUAUAGGACAGUGUAAGGAUUUAGGGGAUCAGUGACAAAGCUCCCAUUUUUGAUCCCCUUUCCAGCAAAAGUGAUCCAGAAUCUGAAUGGAAAGGAAUCUGGAGAUCAUCUAGUCCCAACUCCUAUAUAACACAGUUCGUCUUCAGUAUUACCCAAAAUGUGUAUAGUCUGUGCUUGAACACCGUGUGUCACAGAGAAUUCACUGACUCACAUCACUCCUCGCCAUUGUGCAUCAGCUUCAGAUAUUAAAACGCCUUCCCUUGAACCAAACUGAUCUUCUGGCAACUUCCACCAGCUGGGGUAAGUUUGGACUUUUGGGGCCAUGGUUAAGUCAAUUCCCUUUUCCCCAUGGCAAUACUUCAUCAAUAAACUAUGGGUUUUUUGCUUUUUUGUUCUUGUUGUUUUUGAGACAGGGUCUCACUCUGCCGCCCAGGCUGGAGUGCAGUGGCACAAUCUCGGCUUACUGCAGCCUCUGCCUCCCAGGCUCAGGUGAUCCUCCCACCUCAGCCUCAGUCCCAGUAGCUGGGACUACAGGCGUGCACCACCAUGCCUGUUAGUUUUUGAAUUUUUGGUGGAGAUGAGGUUUCACCAUGUUGCCCAUGGCUGGUCUUGAACUCCUG